UUCCCUUGACUACAAAACUCUGAUCCUUUCUUAACCACAUUUACCCUGGCAGCACCUAGAGAACAGCUGGAAAAAGGAAAAAUGCAUAGAGACAGUAGAGGGAAAUACGCAAAGCUAGUAAUGUUAUGCUAGUAAAUGUUAAGUCAGUUCAAACACUUUUCUUAGGGUUUUUCUUUUUUUUUUUGAAAGGGAAGGAGGGGGAAGCACUGAAGGAAGAAGACAAUAGGCAUAGGGCAGGCAAGAAGAGAUUAAAAGGAGCUGAUAUGGAGUAAAACUCGAGUGAAGUAAUUGAGAGGAGAGUUGGGACAAACAAGAAUCAGUGCAAGAUGAAAAAAGACCAGCCCAAAGGGUAGCUUGCUCGUCCCGUCACCUGGAACUGAAAACAUGAUAGAGCAUGCAGAGAUCUCUUCCAGCUCCACACAGACUUGCCCCAGGACCUGAAGAUUGAUGAGGAUCAAGCAUGGAUGGACUGAAGUUCUGAAGCAUUACUCUCCAGCAUUCAUUCUGGACGCGAUCAAAAGUGCUGGUGCAGAAUGAUGUCCUAGAUACUACAACUUCUUGAGAAGAAAAAGUAUUUUGGAACUCCAUGACUGACCUUGAAAAUAUGGUUGUGCCCUGAAGU